UACGUAGGGUGCAAGCGUUAUCCGGAUUCACUGGGUUUAAAGGGUGUGUAGGCGGGCAGUUAAGUCAGUGGUGAAAUCUCCGGGCUCAACCCGGAAACUGCCAUUGAUACUAUCUGUCUUGAAUAUUGUUGAGGUAGGCGGAAUAUAUCAUGUAGCGGUGAAAUGCAUAGAUAUGAGAUAGAACACCGAUUGCGAAGGCAGCUUACUAAACAAUUAUUGACGCUGAGGCACGAAAGCGUGGGGAGCAAACAGG
rnacentral:rRNA from 1 species